UCGGGAAUUUUGGGCAAUGGGCGAAAGCCUGACCCAGCAACGCCGCGUGAGGGAUGAAGUACUUCGGUAUGUAAACCUCGAAAGAAUGGGAAGAAUAAAUGACGGUACCACUUAUAAGCUCCGGCUAACUACGUGCCAGCAGCCGCGGUAAUACGUAGGGAGCAAGCGUUGUUCGGAUUUACUGGGCGUAAAGGGCGCGUAGGCGGCGCGGUAAGUCACUUGUGAAAUCUCUGAGCUUAACUCAGAACGGCCAAGUGAUACUGCUGUGCUAGAGUGCGGAAGAGGCAACCGGAAUUCUUGGUGUAGCGGUGAAAUGCGUAGAUAUCAAGAGGAACACCUGAGGCGAAGGCGGGUUGCUGGGCCGACACUGACGCUGAUGCGCGAAAGCCAGGGGAGCAAACG
rnacentral:rRNA from 1 species